AAGAGCUCAUUCUAAUGCCCCUGUCCCAGUUAGGAAACCUGGACGGAAACCUCUGCAGGCUUUGCGCCCCACCCAAGGUUUCCGUGCGGUUCCCGGAGGUUGCAGGUGGUUGUCGGAGGUUGCGGGUAGUGGAAGCAGGUAGGGAGACUGACAAAAACCUCUG